rnacentral:rRNA from 1 species
CUACGGGAGGCUGCAGUGAGGAAUAUUGCACAAUGGGGGGAACCCCGAUGCAGCAACGCCGCGUGGAGGAUGACGCAUUUCGGUGUGUAAACUCCUUUUAUAUGUCAAGAAAAUGACGGUAGCAUAUGAAUAAGCACCGGCUAACUCCGUGCCAGCAGCCGCGGUAAUACGGAGGGUGCAAGCGUUACUCGGAAUCACUGGGCGUAAAGGACGCGUAGGCGGGUUGGAAAGUCAGGUGUGAAAUCCUACAGCUUAACUGUAGAACUGCACUUGAAACUUCUAAUCUAGAGUAUGGGAGGGGGAGAUGGAAUUAGUGGUGUAGGGGUAAAAUCCGUAGAUAUCGCUAGGAAUACCUAAAGCGAAGGCGAUCUCCUGGAACAUUACUGACGCUAAGGCGUGAAAGCGUGGGGAGCAAACAGGAUUAGAUACCCCCGUAGUC